UCGUAACAAGGUUUCCGUAGGUGAACCUGCGGAAGGAUCAUUACUGAUUUGCUUAAUUGCACCACAUGUGUUUUUCUUUGAAACAAACUUGCUUUGGCGGUGGGCCCAGCCUGCCGCCAGAGGUCUAAACUUACAACCAAUUUUUUAUCAACUUGUCACACCAGAUUAUUACUAAUAGUCAAAACUUUCAACAACGGAUCUCUUGGUUCUCGCAUCGAUGAAGAACGCAGCGAAAUGCGAUACGUAAUAUGAAUUGCAGAUAUUCGUGAAUCAUCGAAUCUUUGAACGCACAUUGCGCCCUCUGGUAUUCCGGAGGGCAUGCCUGUUUGAGCGUCGUUUCUCCCUCAAACCGCUGGGUUUGGUGUUGAGCAAUACGACUUGGGUUUGCUUGAAAGACGGUAGUGGUAAGGCGGGAUCGCUUUGACAAUGGCUUAGGUCUAACCAAAAACAUUGCUUGCGGCGGUAACGUCUACUACGUAUAUCUUCAAACUUUGACCUCAAAUCAGGUAGGACUACCCGCUGAACUUAAGCAUAUCAAUAA
rnacentral:misc_RNA from 1 species